CGCCUCCCGGAUUCAAGUGAUUCUCCUGCCUCAGCCUCCUGAGUAGCUGGGAUUACAAGCACAUGCCACCAUGCCUGGCUACUUUUUGUAUUUUUAAUAGAGAUGGGGUUUCACCACAUUGGCCAGGCUGGUCUUGAACUCCUGACCUCAGGUGAUACACCCGCCUCAGCCUCCCAAAGGGCUGGGAUUACAGACAUGAGCCACUGUGCCUGGCUACACACAUAUCUUUAUGUGUCUUGCCUUAUCAAAUGUUCCUGACGUUGCCAAGUGCUUCUUAUUACAUUUGUACACAUCAAAUUUGAAAAAGAGGGAGAGAUUUAUCCUAGGUUACAUCUUGAGAAAGUGACAAAAGUAUAACUGAAGUCCAAUUCUUCUGAAUCUAAAUUAUAUGCAUUUUGUAACAGACCAAUGCUAAAUUAAUUUAAAAUGGUAGAAUGUCAUGAUGAACAUUUUAUUUUUGCAACUUUCCUUGCAAUGUCACCCUAUUUUCUGAUUCUUUUAAAUAUUUGCCUGCAUGGGCGUAUUUACUCAUUGCCACCUGGUGACAUAAUUAUGAAAUAUUAUGGGAAAAAGGAAAAACAGGGAAAGUGAGAAAACACUUGUUAGUCAUUCAGAACAGCAAUUUUGGUUCAGAAGUUUGAGGUUUAAUCACCGAGAAGUGGCACAGAAAUAAAGCUGGUUUCUUUGGGUUCCAUCAGGCGAUGUGAAAUAUCGUGAAACGAGGUGGUAUCAUGGAGUUCCAUCCAGGGAAAAUGUAGAAUGGCACAGCUUCACUACAUUUUUCUGAGAAAAACAGAGGCACAGACAGUGUAUCUCAUAAAAAAGGGCAAAUCCUGGAGUGCGUACGACAUCCUUAAACAAGAUUACAUGAAAAAAUGAUGGAUGUGAAUGUGUUUAGCACAAUGUCAGCUUCAUAUUAGAUUUUUAAAUAAUGUUGGCUUAAUUUGAAGUUGUAUCUCUUUUCUGGAACUACUUAAUAUCUUGUGGUUUUUGAUUUCUUUCCUUCCUUCCUUUCUUUCUUUCCUUUUCCCCCUCUCUUUCUUCCUUCCUUCCUUCCUUCCUUUCUUUCUUUUUCUUUCUUUCUUUCUUUCUCUUUGUUUAUUUCUUUCUCUCUCUUUCUCUUUUUCUCUCCUCUCUUUCUUUCUUUCUUUCUUUCUCUUUCUCUCCUUCUCUCUUUCUUUCUCUUUCUUUCUCUUUUUCUCUCCUUCUCUCUCUUUCUCUCUUUCCUUCCUUUCUUCUUUCUUUCCUUCUCCUUCCUUCCUUCUUUCUUUCUUUCUUUCUUUCUUUCUUUCUUUCUUUCUUUCUUUCUUUCUUUCUUUCUUUCUUUCUUUUCUUUCUUUCUUUCUCUUUUUCUCUCCUUCUCUCUUUCUCUCCUUCCUUCCUUCCUUCCUUCCUUCCUUCCUUCCUUCCUUCCUUCCUUCCUUCCUUCCUUCCUUCCUUCCUUCCUUUCUCUCUCUCUCUCUUUCUUUCUUUCUUUUGACAGAGCCUUGCUGUAUUGUCUAGAUUGGAGUGCAAUGGCACGAUCUCUGCUCACUGCAACCUCCGCCUCCCAGGUUCAAGCAAUUCUCCUGCCUCAGCCUCCCAAUGCUCCUGCGCCACUCUGA
ensembl:lncRNA